rnacentral:rRNA from 1 species
ACGAACGCUGGCGGCGUGCUUAACACAUGCAAGUCGAACGAGAUCCAAUGUGUAGCAAUACACAGGAAGAUCUAGUGGCGAACGGGUGAGGAACACGUGAGAAACGUACCCCAGACUUUGGGAUAACAGUCCGAAAGGACUGCUAAUACCAAAUAACGUCGGAAGUCCGCAUGGACAUCUGACGAAAGGGAUUCCGGUUUGGGAGCGUCUCGCGGACCUAUCAGCUAGUUGGAGGGGUAACGGCCCACCAAGGCAACGACGGGUAGCUGGUCUGAGAGGAUGGUCAGCCACACUGGGACUGAGACACGGCCCAGACUCCUACGGGAGGCAGCAGUGGGGAAUCUUGCGCAAUGGGCGAAAGCCUGACGCAGCAACGCCGCGUGCGGGAAGAAGGCUUUCGGGCUGUAAACCGCUUUCAGUAGGAACGAAACUGACGGUACCUACAGAAGAAGGAGCGGCCAACUAUGUG